rnacentral:tRNA from 2 species
GGAGAAGUACUCAAGUGGCUGAAGAGGUGCCCCUGCUAAGGGUAUAGAUCGUGUAAACGAUGCGAGAGUUCGAAUCCCUCCUUCUCCG